rnacentral:rRNA from 1 species
UACGUAGGGUGCAAGCGUUAAUCGGAAUUACUGGGCGUAAAGCGUGCGCAGGCGGUUAUGUAAGACAGGUGUGAAAUCCCCGGGCUUAACCUGGGAAUGGCACUUGAAACUACGGGACUGGAGUAUGGCAGAGGGAGGUGGAAUUCCACGUGUAGCGGUGAAAUGCGUAGAGAUGUGGAGGAACACCGAUGGCGAAGGCAGCCUCCUGGGCCAAUACUGACGCUCAUGCACAAAAGCGUGGGGAGCAAACAGG